GAUGAACGCUGGCGGCGUGCCUAAUACAUGCAAGUCGAGCGAACGGACGAGAAGCUUGCUUUUCUGAUGUUAGCGGCGGACGGGUGAGUAACACGUGGAUAGCCUACCUAUAAUACUGGGAUAACUUCGGGAAACCGGAGCUAAUACCGGAUAAUAUUUUGAACCGCAUGGUUCAAAAGUGAAAGACGGUCUUGCUGUCACUUAUAGAUGGAUCCGCGCUGCAUUAGCUAGUUGGUAAGGUAACGGCUUACCAAGGCAACGAUGCAUAGCCGACCUGAGAGGGGGAUCGGCCACACUGGAACUGAGACACGGUCCAGACUCCUACGGGAGGCAGCAGUAGGGAAUCUUGCGCAAUGGGCGAAAGCCUGACGGAGCAACGCCGCGUGAGUGAUGAAGGUCUUCGGAUCGUAAAACUCUGUUAUUAGGGAAGAACAUAUGUGUAAGUAACUGUGCACAUCUUGACGGUACCUAAUCAGAAAGCCACGGCUAACUACGUG
rnacentral:rRNA from 1 species